CCUACGGGAGGCAGCAGUGGGGAAUUUUCCGCAAUGGGCGAAAGCCUGACGGAGCAACGCCGCGUGAGGGAUGAAGGCCUCUGGGCUGUAAACCUCUUUUAUCAAGGAAGAAGAUCUGACGGUACUUGAUGAAUAAGCCACGGCUAAUUCCGUGCCAGCAGCCGCGGUAAUACGGGAGUGGCAAGCGUUAUCCGGAAUUAUUGGGCGUAAAGCGUCCGCAGGCGGUCUUGUAAGUCUGUCGUUAAAGCGUGGAGCUUAACUCCAUUUCGGCGGUGGAAACUACAAGACUAGAGUGUGGUAGGGGCAGAGGGAAUUCCCGGUGUAGCGGUGAAAUGCGUAGAUAUCGGGAAGAACACCAGUGGCGAAGGCGCUCUGCUGGGCCAUAACUGACGCUCAUGGACGAAAGCUAGGGGAGCGAAAGGGAUUAGAUACCCCUGUAGUCCUAGCCGUAAACGAUGAACACUAGGUGUCGGGGGAAUCGACCCCCUCGGUGUCGUAGCUAACGCGUUAAGUGUUCCGCCUGGGGAGUACGCNCGCAGUGUGAACUACAAGAAGUAGACGGCGUGAGACGUGCCGACGGACGACGACGAGGGAGUAGG
rnacentral:rRNA from 1 species